UGAAUCUCAACUUCAGUCAUUUUUAACAGUUACGUCAUUCAUCCGUUUUACAUCACUUUGAAACAAAAAUGGCGCCUGCCAGUGAAAGAGCUUUUUGAAUAUUUUCACCGCUUUAUAUACAUACAAUACAUUACUGAUAUAUAUUAACGUGUGUAUAUUUUAUAUUUUUAUACAUAUUGUAUGGCAACACUAUUAUACAGAGGACAUUUUGAAAUCGGUGAAAAAUUAUCAGCAAAGUUCUUCAACGUUUCUGUAUACAACUUAACAGGGUUCAAAUUACCUCAUCCAGGAUAUGUUGUGUAUAAAUUAAUAGACCCUUCCAUUUCUCAAGUUAUUAAAGAAAAAAAAGUUCUUUAAUUUUUGUUUUAAAUGUAGUGAAAGAUACUAUGUUUCAAAGAAAGAUAACAAAAAACUAAACAAAAGAUAAAAGAAAACUAAGAACCUUGCAAUUUUUUAUUGUUUUGUCAUGUAAGAAGUUGACUUCAACACAUAUAUUUGAGCCAUUAACAGUAUCUCCAUCAAUUUGAAUCGAUGCGAGAACAUUUAAUGGAUAUUAAAUAAAUGUGGAACUGAGAAGAGAAGAAAAUAUAGCUAAUGAAAGCUUGUCUCUAAUGUAGACAUGCCACUAUGGUGCCAGUUUUGGCUGGACAGUCUUCUUAAAUGUCAAUGUGUGUUCUCACUUGGCUCCUAUAGUAAUCAAUAGGCUCAGCUGAUGUGUUAAGUUGAAAAACAAAAACAAAAAAUUUUUAAUCUUUUGAAAAAGUAAGGUAUCGAAACAAAACAAAAGAAAAAGUUAAAAAAAACACAAAACAAGAAAAAAGUCAAAAAAGAAGCAAUAAAAUAAGAAAAACGA